ACCACCCUCAGGAGUUGAGAAGCCAGAAACUCCAGAAUCAGAAGAUCUCAAGUCCUCAAAAACCCUAAACUCCUAAAAGGCCAAAACCUAAAACAAUGACACACCAAUUAUCGACCUACAAGAAUCUCAUACUCCACCUCUCACUCUCCCUCUCCCUCACUCUCCUCCUCACCUUCCUCAAACUCCCCAUCCUCUUCCUCCACAGCCUCCACACCUACAUCCACCCCGACCACAUCAACCCCUCCUCCUCCUCCUCCACCGCCGCCAUCCGCCGACCCGGCUCCGAUCCCAUCUCCCACCCGGAGCUCCGAAAGCGACCCAAGCCCAAAUCCAAGGCCAAAAACAACAACCCAACAACCUUCGAUGAAAACAACGCCCAGAUCUUCCGCCUCAAGCUCGACGAGGCCCACCUCCAGACCCGCAUCUUCUUCCGGGACUACACCAACGCCUUUACCUUCUCCUCCGUCGCCGCCGCCUGCCUCGCCCUGCAAAUCUACCUCGGCGGCGGCGGCGGCUCCUCCGGUGAUAAAUUCCUCGCCGGCGGCGUCUUCGUUCCGGUUCUCUUGAGCUUCGCCGGAGUUUCGAAGCUCGUGGCGGCUCUGGCGAAGGUCUCGGCGGAGAAAUCGGCGUCCAGGAGGUCGGAGAAGCAGCUGAGCUUUGCUUUCGGGGUCGUCGGGUUUGUACUGGGGAGCGUGGUGUGCUUUCGGUACGGCACAUCGGCUUUGGAUUUUAAUUUCGCAACUGUUGAUUCGAAUGGGAGGCUUUUCGUUGCGAUUUUGAUGGGGUGCUUUGCCGGAUUCUUGUUCAUGCCGGCGGCGAAGAACGCGAGGGCGUUUUGGUUAGGGACUGAUCAAGUAAGGUCCGAUUUGGGUAUGAUUUCGUGCGAGUGGUUUGGGAGAUUGGUGCUUUAUGUGAACUAUGUAAUGUCUGUGUUUACGGUUUUGCUGUGGAUCAAUCCCUUUUGUGAAAUGCUUGUCAAUAAGAAUAAUGGGAAGGUUCGAAAUGUGGAUGGUUUGAUUGGGAACAUCGGGUUUUCGGCUUCGGAAUUUGGUACAUUUCGGGUUUGGUGCUUGCUGAUUUCGGGGUUUCUGCAGCUGGUUGCGUUGAGGCCGAAUUUGCAAAUGUAUUUGAACGAGGCAUUGUUGUGUUGGUACCAGAGAUUGCAUGCUGGGAAGGUUCCUGACUUGGAGUUCAGUCGGGCGAAGGUGUUUUUGCACAAUCAUUACUUGUGCCUGGUGGUUCUGCAGUUCCUUGCGCCGCCGGUUUUGUUGCUUCUGUUUCUUGGGCUGUCUAGGGUGGAGGGCAUCUCUUCGGAUGAUUACAGAUAUGCUUGUAGUGUGCUGCCUUGUUCUGCGUUUGUGAGAGAAGUAGGGGUGUUUUUGGCUUGGUGGAUUCUGUUUGUUUGGGCUGUGUAUACUUCAGCUACCAUUUUUCUGUUUCGGAGAUGUUUUUUGUACAUGUCUUGAUGACUUGGAUGCUUUGCUUCAACCUUGAAGAUUAAUGAGGAGUCCUUGAGUUGGACUUCCCACAAAUUUUGAGUUUGAGUGUUGUGCUGCUUGUAGCGGGGUUUUCAUUGCUUAACAGCAUCUGCGAUUUGGCUUCAGAGCAUAGAGAAAAGAGAAUCAAACACAUUGUCUGGAAAACUAACUUCAAUACUAGGCAUCUCUACUACUAUAAAGGUACUACCAAAUUACGAACUUCCAAAAAUACUCUUUCACAUCUCAUAUUGGCAUAGAAACAAACAAACAGAGGUUUUAUAGUCAAAACAUAAAUAUUUUCAGAAAAUCAUAUCUUCACAAUAAUAAUCGCAUAUUUUUCCUGGCAUUCUCUGACUGUACAUUUGAACAUUUACACCUGUUAACUUCCUUAUCAAAAUCGGUUACAAGUUAAAUUCAAACUGCUGUGGAGACGUGGAUGACUAGAACAGGACAGACAAGUUCUGU